CUCAGAUUGAACGCUGGCGGAAUGCUUUACACAUGCAAGUCGAACGGUAGAGGGGGCAACCCUUGAGAGUGGCGAACGGGUGAGUAAUAUAUCGGAACGUGCCCAGUCGUGGGGAUAACGUAGCGAAAGUUACGCUAAUACCGCAUACGAUCUAAGGAUGAAAGCGGGGGAUCGCAAGACCUCGCGCGAUUGGAGCGGCCGAUAUCAGAUUAGGUAGUUGGUGGGGUAAAGGCUCACCAAGCCAACGAUCUGUAGCUGGUCUGAGAGGACGACCAGCCACACUGGAACUGAGACACGGUCCAGACUCCUACGGGAGGCAGCAGUGGGGAAUUUUGGACAAUGGACGCAAGUCUGAUCCAGCCAUUCCGCGUGCAGGAUGAAGGCCCUCGGGUUGUAAACUGCUUUUGUACGGAACGAAAAGGUUUCUCUUAAUACGAGGAGCUCAUGACGGUACCGUAAGAAUAAGCACCGGCUAACUACGUG
rnacentral:rRNA from 1 species